rnacentral:tRNA from 1 species
GGCCUCGUAGCUUAGUUGGUUGAGCGUGCAUUUUUUUAAACCAAUGGCGGUGUCCAUGCGUGGGUUCGAGUCCCAUCGAGACUA